UCUCCGUAUCCAGGCAACAGUGACAAUGUAAUUUCCAUGCAACUGAACUGCUUCAUCUUGGACAUAUAAUAAGCACCAGAGGGUAGAUCUGCUUUUUAAGCUGUUAAAUAUGGAUACCGCUGCCUGCAAUGACUGAAAAAGGUCAAAAAGAAUGUUUAUUCAGAUGCACCAUCACCAUCCAUUCCACCAAAGCCCAUCAGACAAAAAUCGUGAAGGGAAUACUGAUACGGCAAGAGAGAGCCUUGAGGGUUCAGACAUCAAAGUAAAGGAGAGAAAGGGAAUGUUGUGGGAGAUGGAGUGAAGGAGGGGAAAAGGAAGGGCAAGCAAGAGUGUGCACGAGAUACAGUAUCUGAAACCCAAACAAACUAUAAGUUCACUUAAUAAACUGGGAGAAAGUGUUAAAAUAAAAAUGGAACAUAACCAUUUUAUUGUGACUGCAUUUCUUGAACUGUGUAUUGACAGAGUCUGUAAUUGGUGCUGUUCGAUGGCUCAA